rnacentral:pre_miRNA from 1 species
CAGAGUGGCCGGGUCUACCCGCGAAGAGGCUGGAGUCACUGGAUCCAGCGGUCCAGGCCUCCUCGUUGGCAGAUGCGGCGGCGGGA